rnacentral:lncRNA from 11 species
GCAGCCAACACCGCAAGGGAGAGAUGCAUCCCUUUUAAAAAGGUGGACAAAAGGGUUGCAAAACGCACACAAUCUGCAAGAAGCAGGAGCUAGAGGAAAUCCUGUGGCAGCCAUCUUGGGGGCUGCAAAAUCCCAAGACAAAGCAGCAAG